rnacentral:rRNA from 1 species
AUUGAACGCUGGCGGCAGGCCUAACACAUGCAAGUCGAGCGGAUGAAGGGAGCUUGCUCCUGGAUUCAGCGGCGGACGGGGGAGUAAUGCCUAGGAAUCUGCCUGGUAGUGGGGGAUAACGUCCGGAAACGGGCGCUAAUACCGCAUACGUCCUGAGGGAGAAAGUGGGGGAUCUUCGGACCUCACGCUAUCAGAUGAGCCUAGGUCGGAUUAGCUAGUUGGUGGGGUAAAGGCCUACCAAGGCGACGAUCCGUAACUGGUCUGAGAGGAUGAUCAGUCACACUGGAACUGAGACACGGUCCAGACUCCUACGGGGGGCAGCAGUGGGGAAUAUUGGACAAUGGGCGAAAGCCUGAUCCAGCCAUGCCGCGUGUGUGAAGAAGGUCUUCGGAUUGUAAAGCACUUUAAGUUGGGAGGAAGGGCAGUAAGUUAAUACCUUGCUGUUUUGACGUUACCAACAGAAUAAGCACCGGCUAACUUCGUG